GACGAACGCUGGCGGCGUGCUUAACACAUGCAAGUCGAGCGGUAAGGCCCUUUCGGGGGUACACGAGCGGCGAACGGGUGAGUAACACGUGGGUGACCUGCCCUCAGCUCUGGGAUAAGCCUGGGAAACCGGGUCUAAUACUGGAUAUGACUCCAUGACGCAUGUUGUGGGGUGGAAAGCCUUGUGCGGCUGAGGAUGGGCCCGCGGCCUAUCAGCUUGUUGGUGGGGUGAGGCCUACCAAGGCGACGACGGGUAGCCGGCCUGAGAGGGCGACCGGCCACACUGGGACUGAGACACGGCCCAGACUCCUACGGGAGGCAGCAGUGGGGAAUAUUGGACAAUGGGCGCAAGCCUGAUCCAGCGAUGCCGCGUGUGUGAAGAAGG
rnacentral:rRNA from 1 species